rnacentral:ncRNA from 1 species
CCUCCGCUCUCCCCGCACAGGAGAGCGGAACGAGGCACCCGGCGCUCUCUGCCCUGACUGCGCCGGUGCCUCCAUCGGCCGGAGGCACCGCACACCGCCGGCCAGGUAGCUCCGGGCUGCGGUGCCGGACGGGCUGAGGGUCCCGUCGCGGCGC